rnacentral:rRNA from 1 species
UACGUAGGGGGCAAGCGUUGUCCGGAUUUAUUGGGCGUAAAGAGCGUGUAGGCGGCCAGAUAGGUCCGUUGUGAAAACUCGAGGCUCAACCUCGAGACGUCGGUUGAAACCACCUGGCUAGAGUCCGGAAGAGGAGAGUGGAAUUCCCGGUGUAGCGGUGAAAUGCGCAGAUAUCGGGAAGAACACCCGUGGCGAAGGCGGCUCUCUGGGACGGUACUGACGCUGAGACGCGAAAGCGUGGGGAGCGAACAGG